CAGCUUGCUGCCAUCCCAGCUUUAGCCUUUCUUGUAGGACUUGCAGCUUUUAAGAUAACAGCAGCAGCUGGCCUUGUUAUCAUAACAACUCUUAAUGUACUGCAAAAUGGUCCUGGUGCACUUUUUAGCAAUGCGGAGGUGACAAAACGAUCUGGGAGAGAUACAGGCGGGG